UACAGAGGGUGCGAACGUUGCUCGGAAUUACUGGGCGUAAAGCGCAUGUAGGCGGAUCCAUAAGUCGGGCGUGAAAUCCCCAGGCUCAACCUGGGAACUGCGCUCGAAACUGUGGGUCUUGAGUGUUGGAGAGGAUGGCGGAAUUCCUGGUGUAGAGGUGAAAUUCGUAGAUAUCAGGAGGAACACCGGUGGCGAAGGCGGCCAUCUGGACAACAACGUGACGCUGAGAGUGCGAAAAGCGUGGGGGAGCCAAAC
rnacentral:rRNA from 1 species